CCUACGGGAGGCAGCAGUGAGGAAUAUUGGUCAAUGGACGAGAGUCUGAACCAGCCAAGUAGCGUGAAGGAUGACUGCCCUAUGGGUUGUAAACUUCUUUUAUAUGGGAAUAAAAUGUUCCACGUGUGGGUUUUUGUAUGUACCAUAUGAAUAAGGAUCGGCUAACUCCGUGCCAGCAGCCGCGGUAAUACGGAGGAUCCGAGCGUUAUCCGGAUUUAUUGGGUUUAAAGGGAGCGUAGGUGGAUUGUUAAGUCAGUUGUGAAAGUUUGCGGCUCAACCGUAAGAUUGCAGUUGAAACUGGCAGUCUUGAGUACAGUAGAGGUGGGCGGAAGUCGUGGUGUAGCGGUGAAAUGCUUAGAUAUCACGAAGAACUCCGAUUGCGAAGGCAGCUCACUGGACUGCAACUGACACUGAGGCUCGAAAGUGUGGGUAUCAAACAGGAUUAGAUACCCUUGUAGUC
rnacentral:rRNA from 1 species